GCCUCAGCCUCAGCCCCAACCUCAGCCGCCGCCGUUGCGCCUGCUCCCGGGCGGUCCCGGCCUGUGCCGCCGCCGCCCCCAGCGUCGGAGCCAUGGCGGGCGCUGCGUCCCCUUGCGCCAACGGCUGCGGGCCCGGCGCCCCCUCGGACGCCGAGGUGCUGCACCUCUGCCGCAGCCUCGAGGUGGGCACCGUCAUGACUUUGUUCUACUCCAAGAAGUCGCAGCGACCCGAGCGGAAGACCUUCCAGGUCAAGCUGGAGACGCGCCAGAUCACGUGGAGCCGUGGUGCCGACAAGAUCGAGGGGGCCAUUGAUAUUCGUGAAAUUAAGGAGAUCCGCCCAGGGAAGACCUCACGGGACUUUGAUCGCUAUCAAGAGGACCCAGCUUUCCGGCCGGACCAGUCACAUUGCUUUGUCAUUCUCUAUGGAAUGGAAUUUCGCCUGAAAACGCUGAGCCUGCAAGGUGGGAGUCAAGGGGGUGGAGGAGGUAGAGGAUAGGAUAAUGCCCGCUGGCUCCUGCCCAG
rnacentral:sRNA from 1 species